rnacentral:rRNA from 1 species
ACUUUAUAUGUUAAUUAAAUUUAAUUGAAUUUUAAGAAUUUAGUUUAGUGUUAUAUUUUAUUGGGGCGAUAGAGAUAUAAGUUUUAUUAACUAUUUUAUAUAUUAAACACUGAUAUUUGAAUGUAGGUAAAUGAUCCUUUAUAGAGAGUAAGAGACUAAGUU